UACAGAGGUCCCGAGCGUUGUUCGGAUUCACUGGGCGUAAAGGGUGCGUAGGUGGUGAGGUAAGUCGGAUGUGAAAUCUCCGGGCUCAACCCGGAAAUGGCAUUGGAGACUACCUUGCUGGAGGAUUUGAGGGGGGAUUGGAAUACUUGGUGUAGCAGUGAAAUGCGUAGAUAUCAGGAGGAACACCGAUGGCGAAGGCAGGGCGCUGGGCUGACACUGACGCUGAGGCACGAAAGCGUGGGGAGCAAACAGG
rnacentral:rRNA from 1 species